GCGGCCGCCUGUGAAGUGAAGCGAAGGGAAGUGAAGUGAAGUGAAGGGGGGUGGCGGUGAGGAGAGGCGGCCCCGACGGAGCCGCGGUGCAUCGCACGGCGCUGGGAGCGGCCCCGGAUACCGCCCAGGUGAGGUGGAGCGAUCCCCCUUGCACCAGGGUGUACGCGCGUCACCAAGAAACACAGGCCUGCUCUAUAUCCUUCCCGGCUAGAGGGUCUGAUUUCCACAUGUCAAGAAGCACUAUGGCAAAUCCACCUGCAGAAAGCACAGCCCUUCCAUUGAGUAACAAAGAAAGCACUCUGCCCUUGCUCCUGACCCUCGUCCCUGCCCCCACCUGCCCUCACAGUACAGCCAUCUUCUCUUGAGCAGGGUAAAGAGCAGUGAGAAUUCAUACUUGGUUAUCCUGGCACAAAGAGUUUGUGGGCCACAAAGAGAAAUCCCUGCAUUCCAGAAAACAGAGGCAAAAAGAGACAGACGGAGGAGCGCCUAAUAAAGAUGUGACGAUGUUCUCA